CCGCCCUCACCAACGCACCGCCACCCCCUUUUCCCGCCGCCCGGCGCCUUACUCGAUGAAGAAGACGCGGCCGUCUCCACAGACGCCAUAGGACCAGUGCUCAGAGAAACCAGCAGGGCAUGGAAGAAGACAAAAUCAGAGUUGUUGGAGUGGAUCAGCAAGCAAAGUGAAGAUAACUUUGUUCCUUUCAUUGCUGCACAGGCUAAAUCACACAUCAGUGGAGAUUGUCAGCUGUGGGGAUUGUAAUAUUUUCUGCAGCCCUGAACUACAUUAAAGAACCAAUCAGAGAUGUGUUCAUAAUUGUUUGAUGUUUUGAGAUUGGCAAUUACUGUAGGGGAAAUUCUAAAUAUAAGACUUGUUGCAUUUUUAGCUAAUACUAUUUUGGUAGACAUGUAACAAUGCAGUGUGUACCUACCUAAAAUAAAUAGUGCAUCUCAAUCCACAGCAUAUUUCUAGUUACUGAAAUUCUAUUUUAUGGCAAUAGAACAGUGAUAUUGUAGAAAGUAGCAGGGCAAAUCUCUACUUUUUCCAGCAAUUGUGUUCCUGUUUGUUAUUGUCAAAAGAAAACUCCUCAAUAUUUCUUCCUUUUUAACAAAAUGAAAAGAAAUACAAAGCUGUUCCUGAAGGUUAAUCUGUACAGCCUGCAUAGAAACAGAGAAACACUGUACACAACCUCCAAGUGUAUUUUUUGCAAAAUACAGGCCCUCCAUCUGUGUGUAUAAAAUCAUGACUGUCAUUUCAAUACUUCAAAGAUUAAGGAAAUUCCUUUAAA